rnacentral:rRNA from 1 species
CCUACGGGAGGCAGCAGUGAGGAAUAUUGGUCAAUGGACGGAAGUCUGAACCAGCCAUGCCGCGUGCAGGAAGACGGCUCUAUGAGUUGUAAACUGCUUUUGUACAAGGGUAAACCUGCAUACGUGUAUUCAGCUGAAAGUACCGUACGAAUAAGGAUCGGCUAACUCCGUGCCAGCAGCCGCGGUAAUACGGAGGAUCCAAGCGUUAUCCGGAUUUAUUGGGUUUAAAGGGUGCGUAGGCGGAUUGAUAAGUUAGAGGUGAAAUGUCCGAGCUUAACUCGGGAACUGCCUCUAAUACUGUUGAUCUAGAGAGUAGAUGCGGUAGGCGGAAUGUAUGGUGUAGCGGUGAAAUGCUUAGAGAUCGUACAGAACACCGAUUGCGAAGGCAGCGUACCAAUCUAUAUCUGACGUUGAGGCACGAAAGCGUGGGGAGCGAACAGGAUUAGAUACCCCAGUAGUC